UAAAAAAUAAGACAACCUGUGUUCCUGUGCAGCUUCAUCCCUCAUCUUUCCCUAAGUGUCAAGAAGCAAUAGUUAGUCCACAAGCACGAGUGAAAUUACUGAACAAAAUUAAGAUGGAUACAGCACUCUAAAACACCCAUUUGAAUGCAUGUGAAAUCGACGACUUUCUCAAGGUUGAAACUUUGAAUGGAUUAAAGGAGAUCAGUGAGAGUACAUGUAAGUGCCCCCAGCUGUUUUCUGAAAUUAUCUUUUCUGGUGCCUGACAAUUGUUUUUUUUUUUUUUUUUUUUUGAGUCUUUCAGUUUUGCAAAUGACUGUGUCAAAAAUAAGAUAAGAAAUGAUGUAUUCAAUAAUCCCAUCAAAUUGAAUUUACAUAAUAGCACAGGACUCAGAUGAAUAUAAUAAGAGGAUUUGGAUUGAAAUUGUAAGUUCUGACCUUCCUAUCUUACUUUGCUUCAGUUAUAGAAUAAAGGGUACUUCAGAUAUGAUCACCACCAUCAUCAUUGCUCUGCCCUUAAAUGAAUUACCUAGAUGUAUCUGGAGGGUUGUCAUGUUGCUAAAGAUUCAGUUGAGUGGUACUUACCUUCUUGCUCCUAUUUGCACCUUGUUCUCAUAGCUGAGAUUAAAAAAUUAUGUUUCUGGCCGGGCACAGUGGCUCAAGCCUGUAAUCCCAGCACUUCAGGAGGCCGAGGCAGGAGGAUCAUGAGAUCAGGAGAUUGAGACCAUCCUGGCCAACACAGUGAAACUCCAUCUCUACUAAAAAUACAAAAAUUAGCCGGGCAUGGUGGUGUGUGCCUGUAGUCCCAGAUACUCGGGAGGCUGAGGCAGAAGAAUCAUUGAACCCACGAGGCAGAGGUUGCAGUGAGCUGAGAUCGUGCCACUGCACACUGCACUCCAGUCUGGUGACCAAGCAAGACUCCGUC
rnacentral:lncRNA from 1 species